AUUGAACGCUGGCAGCAUGCUUUACACAUGCAAGUCGAACGGUAACAGGCCGCAAGGUGCUGACGAGUGGCGAACGGGUGAGUAAUGCAUCGGAACGUGCCCAGUCGUGGGGGAUAACUACUCGAAAGAGUAGCUAAUACCGCAUACGAUCUAUGGAUGAUAGCGGGGGACCGUAAGGCCUCGCGCGAUUGGAGCGGCCGAUGUCAGAUUAGGUAGUUGGUGGGGUAAAGGCUCACCAAGCCAACGAUCUGUAGCUGGUCUGAGAGGACAACCAGCCACACUGGGACUGAGACACGGCCCAGACUCCUACGGGAGGCAGCAGUGGGGAAUUUUGGACAAUGGGCGCAAGCCUGAUCCAGCAAUGCCGCGUGCAGGAAGAAGGCCUUCGGGUUGUAAACUGCUUUUGUACGGAACGAAACGGCUCUGGUUAAUACCCGGGGCUAAUGACGGUACCGUAAGAAUAAGCACCGGCUAACUACGUG
rnacentral:rRNA from 1 species